CCUACGGGAGGCAGCAGUGAGGAAUAUUGGUCAAUGGACGAGAGUCUGAACCAGCCAAGUAGCGUGAAGGAUGACUGCCCUAUGGGUUGUAAACUUCUUUUAUAAAGGAAUAAAACGAGGCACGUGUGCCUUUUUGCAUGUACUUUAUGAUUAAGGAUCGGCUAACUCCGUGCUAGCAGCCGCGGUAAUACGGAGGAUCCGAGCGUUAGCCGGAUUUAUUGGGUUUAAAGGGAGCGUAGAUGGGUUGUUAAGUCAGUUGUUAAAGUUUGCGGCUCAACCGUAAAAUUGCAAUUGAUACUGGCAGUCUUGAGUACAGUUGAGGUAGGCGGAAUUCGUGGUGUAGCGGUGAAAUGCUUAGAUAUCACGAAGAACCCCGAUUGCGAAGGCAGCUUACUAAACUGUGACUGACAUUGAUGCUCGAAAGUGUGGGUAUCAAACAGGAUUAGAUACCCGGGUAGUC
rnacentral:rRNA from 1 species